GAGUUUGAUCUUGGCUCAGAUUGAACGCUGGCGGCAUGCCUAACACAUGCAAGUCGAACGGUAACGCGGGGGCAACCCUGCGACGAGUGGCGGACGGGUGAGUAAUACGUAGGAAUCUGCCCAUUAGUGGGGGACGAACCCGGCGAAAGCCGGGCGUAAUACCGCAUACGCUCUACGGAGGAAAACGGGGGAGUCGUAAGACCUCGUGCUAAUGGAUGAGCCUACGUCGGAUUAGCUAGUUGGUAGGGUAACGGCCUACCAAGGCGACGAUCCGUAGCUGGUCUGAGAGGACGAUCAGCCACACUGGGACUGAGACACGGCCCAGACUCCUACGGGAGGCAGCAGUGGGGAAUAUUGGACAAUGGGGGCAACCCUGAUCCAGCAAUGCCGCGUGUGUGAAGAAGGCCUGCGGGUUGUAAAGCACUUUCAGAGGGGAAGAAAAAGACGGAGCUAACACCUCCGUUCUUGACGUUACCCUUAGAAGAAGCACCGGCUAACUCCGUGCCAGCCGCCGCCGUAAC
rnacentral:rRNA from 1 species